GGGCCGCUGGUCUAGUGGCAUGAUUCCGCUUAAUAGGGUUACACCCUACAGCAGUGUUUGCGAUAGGUCUCGGGCUCAAGUCCCGGGUGGCCCC